AUUGAACGCUGGCGGCAGGCCUAACACAUGCAAGUCGAGCGGAGCGGCGGACGGGCGAGUAAUGCCUAGGUAUCUGCCUGGCAGUGGGGGAGAACGUCCGGCAACGGGCGCUAAUACCGCACACUUUCCAUCGAGUCUAGGUCGGAUUAGCUAGUUGGUGGGGUAAAGGCCUACCAAGGCGACGAUCCGUAACUGGUCUGAGAGGAUGAUCAGUCACACUGGAACUGAGACACGGUCCAGACUCCUACGGGAGGCAGCAGUGGGGAAUAUUGGACAAUGGGCGAAAGCCUGAUCCAGCCAUGCCGCGUGUGUGAAGAAGGUCUUCGGGUUGUAAAGCACUUUAAGUUGGGAGGCGUUACCAGCAGAAUAAGCACCGGCUAACUUCGUGCCAGCCGCCGCGGUAAUUC
rnacentral:rRNA from 1 species